rnacentral:rRNA from 1 species
AACCGCUUUCGGGCGGGGAUUAGUGGCGAACGGGUGAGUAACACGUGGGCAAUCUGCCCUGCACUCUGGGACAAGCCCUGGAAACGGGGUCUAAUACCGGAUAUGACUGUCCAUCGCAUGGUGGAUGGUGUAAAGCUCCGGCGGUGCAGGAUGAGCCCGCGGCCUAUCAGCUUGUUGGUGAGGUAGUGGCUCACCAAGGCGACGACGGGUAGCCGGCCUGAGAGGGCGACCGGCCACACUGGGACUGAGACACGGCCCAGACUCCUACGGGAGGCAGCAGUGGGGAAUAUUGCACAAUGGGCGAAAGCCUGAUGCAGCGACGCCGCGUGAGGGAUGACGGCCUUCGGGUUGUAAACCUCUUUCAGCAGGGAAGAAGCGAAAGUGACGGUACCUGCAGAAGAAGCGCCGGCUAACUACGUGCCAGCAGCCGCGGUAAUACGUAGGGCGCAAGCGUUGUCCGGAAUUAUUGGGCGUAAAGAGCUCGUAGGCGGCUUGUCACGUCGGUUGUGAAAGCCCGGGGCUUAACCCCGGGUCUGCAGUCGAUACGGGCAGGCUAGAGUUCGGUAGGGGAGAUCGGAAUUCCUGGUGUAGCGGUGAAAUGCGCAGAUAUCAGGAGGAACACCGGUGGCGAAGGCGGAUCUCUGGGCCGAUACUGACGCUGAGGAGCGAAAGCGUGGGGAGCGAACAGGAUUAGAUACCCUGGUAGUCCACGCCGUAAACGGUGGGCACUAGGUGUGGGCAACAUUCCACGUUGUCCGUG